rnacentral:rRNA from 1 species
UACGUAGGGUGCAAGCGUUGUCCGGAAUUAUUGGGCGUAAAGAGCUCGUCGGCGGUCUGUCGCGUCUGCUGUGAAAACUCAGGGCUUAACCCUGAGCUUGCAGUGGGUACGGGCAGACUAGAGUGCGGUAGGGGAGACUGGAAUUCCUGGUGUAGCGGUGAAAUGCGCAGAUAUCAGGAGGAACACCGGUGGCGAAGGCGGGUCUCUGGGCCGUAACUGACGCUGAGGAGCGAAAGCAUGGGGAGCGAACAGG